AAGCUAUUUACUGUUAUGUGUGAGACGUGGGCCAGGUUGGGAGACCCUGAGACAGAGACGGGCCCUGGGUACCAGAUGGGAAGAUUCACUGUCUCUCCCUCUGCACACAUCUUGGGCAAGCACAUGCCCAACUUCCUGCUUUUCCUGACUUGACUGUUUAAGAAGGUGGUGGGCCAGAGAGGAUAUCAUCACUCCACAUUCCAGACGGUUGUGAGACGCCCAGUGUGGGCCGAAUGCCUGACGAAGCCAGAAGAGGACAUACAGAUUCUUUGGAGCUGGAGUCACGGGCAGAUCUGAGUCUGCCCUGGAGGCCUGACUCCCAGUGCUGCAGCUGUCUCUAGCAAGGUGGCACUUCCUCAGUAAACCGGGGUCACGCGUGGCUCUUGCCCUCUCUGGUCCGCUCAGCCUCUCCUCAGGAUCUGGAGUCUGAAACAUCGCGUUUCCCUUCCG
rnacentral:lncRNA from 1 species